GAUGAACGCUAGCGGGAGGCCUAACACAUGCAAGCCGAGCGGUAUAGAAUCUUCGGAUUUUAGAGAGCGGCGUACGGGUGCGGAACACGUGUGCAACCUACCUUUAUCUGGAGGAUAGCCUUUCGAAAGGGAGAUUAAUACUCCAUAAUAUAUUGAUUGGCAUCAAUUAAUAUUGAAAGCUCCGGUGGAUAGAGAUGGGCACGCGCAAGAUUAGUUAGUUGGUGAGGUAACGGCUCACCAAGACGAUGAUCUUUAGGGGGCCUGAGAGGGUGAUCCCCACACUGGUACUGAGACACGGACCAGACUCCUACGGGAGGCAGCAGUGAGGAAUAUUGGACAAUGGGUGCAAGCCUGAUCCAGCCAUCCCGCGU
rnacentral:rRNA from 1 species